CGCGCUCAUGGCGCUGGGCCGGGGCGUGCUCGGCCUCUUCAGCCUCCUCCUGCUGCUGCCGCCGGCCCGCUUUGGGUGAGGAUUGUCAGGCAUAUAUUGAUUAUUCUGGCAAAGAACAACCUGCACAAUCCUGUCCUGACUUCUGCUGUGGAAGUUGCACAAAUCGAUUCUGCUGCUCUAAUGUAAUAUUAAGAUUUGCUGAACAAUUUCAGUGUGUUCUACAUAAUGGAAGGAUGUCUGUCCCAGGAGAUCUUCUAAAUAAGAUUCAAGAGGCCCAACUAGGAGAAUUUUGGGAUAAGUUUGACAAGACCGAGUUUGAAGACGAGGCAACCAAAAAAAUCCGUGAAUUGAUGUCCAAGAGCUGGAUCCCUGACUCAGACCUGGGGGAUUUUCAGGACCCUGAUGAUGACUUGCCUCUUGGCCUCAGGUAAGCCAUGCAAGCUUUUAAAAUGGGAUUUAUUUAGCAAUUCUUCAUUGUGUAAUCAGUACACUGGACUUGGCAGUGCUAGGUUAACAGUUGUACUUGAUAAUCUUAAAGAUCUUUUCCAGCCUAAACCAUUUCAUGAAUCUGUGCUGGAAUAGUCCAUAUCCUCCCUGCUGAACACGAGAUUGAAGCAUUAGCACAGAAUUGCAGAACAGCUGGAGUUCUGCAGUAGGGUCACCUGGAGCAGGUGACACAGGAAACCGUCCAGUUGAGCUUUGAAUGUUUCCAGAGAGGGAGACUCCACUCUCCCUGGACAGCCUGUUCCAGUGCUCUGUCACCUUCAGUGAAAAGAAGUUCUUCCUCAUGUUGAGGUGGAACAUCCCAUUUUAGUUUAUGGCUGUUACUCUUUGCUCUGUACUCUUAGAAAAUCCAUAGUGGUUGAGGAAGAGAAUCUGCUUUUGUUUGAAGUAUCUCCUUGGUUUUCUGGCAUCUUUUGCCCUUAAGUUUUUAACCAUAUUUCUCCUUCUGUUUCAAUGUGUGGCAAAAGUAAAUUCCUUUAAUCCUAUGUCAGUGAUGACAGGAGUCCUGCUGUGAAAACGUGUCAGCUUUUCACAGUGUGGAAGAUGAUGAAGAGAGGGCAGGGGUAGAUCAUAGAAUGUUAAGGGGUUGGAAUGGACCUUAAAGAUCACCUAGUCCCAACCCCCUCUGCCAUGGGCAGAGACACGUCCUACUAGAUCAGUUUGCUCAAGGCCCCAUCCAUCCUGGUCUUGAACACUGCCAGGGUUGGGGCAGCCACAACCUCCACGGGAAACCUGUUCCAGUGUCUUACCACCCUCACAGUAAAAACUUUCUUCCUACUGUCUAACUGAAA
ensembl:lncRNA